rnacentral:snRNA from 1 species
AGCAGGACGGUGGUCAUGG